rnacentral:rRNA from 1 species
GUCGAGAAUCUUUCACCAUGGGGGCAACCCUGAUGGAGCGACGCCGCGUGGAGGAUAAGGUCUUCGGAUUGUAAACUCCUGUCAUGCGUGAACAAGGUUGCUUGGUUAAUACCUGGGCAAAUUGAUGGUAACGCAAGAGGAAGAGACGGCUAACUCUGUGCCAGCAGCCGCGGUAAUACAGAGGUCUCAAGCGUUGUUCGGAAUCACUGGGCGUAAAGGGUGCGUAGGUGGCGUGGUAAGUCAGAUGUGAAAGCCCGGGGCUCAACCUCGGAACUGCAUCCGAUACUGCCAUGCUAGAGUACUUGAGAGGUGACUAGAAUUCUCGGGGUAGCAGUGAAAUGCGUAGAUAUCGAGAGGAAUACCAAAGGCGUAGGCAGGUCACUGGACAGUUACUAACACUGAGACACGAAGGCCAGGGGAGCGAACGGGAUUAGAAACCCCGGUAGUCC